GCCCUGUCUGUAGCUCAACUGGUAGAGCAUGGCUUGAACACUGGCAGGGUUCGGGGUUCGAUUCCCACCGGGGGCA